GCAAAAUUAUAAAAUUAUAAAGAAAUUGUUUUUCCUGAAAGAUUAAAUUGAAUCGUAUAACGCUUUCCAAGUAAAUUAUGCGACCAAAUUCAAGAAAGACCAAGGCUUCACAACAACUUCGAAAAGUGGUGCUGCCAACCAGAAUGACUUACUUAUUAUCCAGGCUCUUAUAGAUCUCAAUAAACCUUCGACCCUGAUGGAGAUAGUAGAACAGCUGGGAUUUCCAAUCAAUUCGCAAGCUGUCCAGACUGAUUUGAUGGAUACCGUGUCUAACGCCCUCGAAAAGGCGGUAACAUGUGGAUUUAUUUAGAUCAUAAACGAAGGCUUUUACCUCUUUCCCACAACCGUAACUGAAUCUAUAAAAACUGAAAGCAUGCGUCAAGAUAUUGCCAGGACCGUGAUGGAGAUAUAGGAGAUCGAGAAGUCGUGGCCUACUUCUGGGAUGUUUGAUUCCGCGUCUUGUAGCCAUGUAGCCCUGGUUUGCAGCUGGUGCCGUGGCUAGGAAAAUAAACAGGCAGAAAGAACGCGCGGUGCUGGCAACUCAGUUGCGAGGCCCGGCAACCUCGUCGCCAACCAUCUUGAGUCGAAGAGAGGAGGAAAAACAAUCCCCGGGAGCUUCGUGAGUGCGGCGAGUUUUGAACGUUUGAGUGACAAACCACA